rnacentral:rRNA from 1 species
GACGAACGCUGGCGGCGUGCUUAACACAUGCAAGUCGAACGAUGAACUUGGAGCUUGCUCUGGGGGAUUAGUGGCGAACGGGUGAGUAACACGUGAGUAACCUGCCCUGGACUCUGGGAUAACUUCGAGAAAUCGGAGCUAAUACCGGAUAGGACCUUGCACCGCAUGGUGUGGGGUGGAAAGUUUUUCGGUUUGGGAUGGACUCGCGGCCUAUCAGCUUGUUGGUGAGGUAAUGGCUCACCAAGGCGGCGACGGGUAGCCGGCCUGAGAGGGUGACCGGCCACACUGGGACUGAGACACGGCCCAGACUCCUACGGGAGGCAGCAGUGGGGAAUAUUGCACAAUGGGCGCAAGCCUGAUGCAGCAACGCCGCGUGCGGGAUGACGGCCUUCGAGUUGUAAACCGCUUUUAGUAGGGAAGAAGCCUUCGGGUGACGGUACCUGCAGAAAAAGGACCGGCUAACUACGUGCCAGCCGCCGCGGUAACAC